ensembl:lncRNA
AAAAGACAAGGCUUGGAUUGGCAGUAGCAGACAAGGAACUCUGUGGGCAUACUCCAAGGAAACUGGACCUCCUCUGUCACAGGACAUCCACUGUUUAAGCACCACCACUACCUCAGGAAGUCCACUGUCUGUGUGUCAACUCCACUGUUACAGGACCACAAGUGUCUCAGCACUUCAACUAUCACAGCAAUUCUACUGUUCAGGAGCUCAAGAGUCUCAGCAUCUCAAGUGUCACAGGACCUCCUUUGUCCAAGAACUGGACUGUCCAAGCAAC